rnacentral:rRNA from 1 species
GUAGUCAUAUGCUUGUCUCAAAGAUUAAGCCAUGCAUGUCUAAGUAUAAGCAAUCUAUACAGUGAAACUGCGGAUGGCUCAUUAAAUCAGUUAUCGUUUAUUUGAUAGUGCCUUACUACAUGGAUAACCGUGGUAAUUCUAGAGCUAAUACAUGCUAAAAACCCCGACCUCUGGAAGGGGUGUAUUUAUUAGAUAAAAAACCAAUGGCUUCGGCCUCUAUGGUGAAUCCUAAUAACUUCACGAAUCGCAUGGCCUUGCGCCGGCGAUGGUUCAUUCAAAUUUCUGCCCUAUCAACUUUCGAUGGUAGGAUAGUGGCCUACCAUGGUUGCAACGGGUAACGGGGAAU